AUUCCUGCGCAGUGGCAGUAUCAUAGUCUAUGAAGUUCUACUGAGACGUGAUUAUUGCUAGUUGAAAACUUUAACCAAUACCCCGCCUGGUUGAUUUGCAAUAUAAUCAGCUGUGGCAAUUUUUGAUGGUCUCCUUAGAGA
ensembl:snRNA U4 U4 spliceosomal RNA